UACGUAGGUGACAAGCGUUGUCCGGAUUUACUGGGCGUAAAGAGCGCGCAGGCGGUCGUUCAAGUCGAGUGUGAAAGCCCCCGGCUCAACUGGGGAGGGUCACUCGAUACUGAUCGACUCGAAGGCAGGAGAGGGUAGUGGAAUUCCCGGUGUAGUGGUGAAAUGCGUAGAUAUCGGGAGGAACACCAGUGGCGAAGGCGGCCUUCUGGACAGUGACUGACGCUGAGACGCGAAAGCGUGGGGAGCAAACAGG
rnacentral:rRNA from 1 species